rnacentral:piRNA from 1 species
UUCACGUUGUUUAUUAUCUAA